UGGGGAAUAUUGGACAAUGGGCGCAAGCCUGAUCCAGCCAUGCCGCGUGUGUGAAGAAGGCCUUAUGGUUGUAAAGCACUUUAAGCGAGGAGGAGGCUACUUUAGUUAAUACCUAGAGAUAGUGGACGUUACUCGCAGAAUAAGCACCGGCUAACUCUGUGCCAGCAGCCGCGGUAAUACAGAGGGUGCAAGCGUUAAUCGGAUUUACUGGGCGUAAAGCGCGCGUAGGCAGCUAAUUAAGUCAAAUGUGAAAUCCCCGAGCUUAACUUGGGAAUUGCAUUCGAUACUGGUUAGCUAGAGUGUGGGAGAGGAUGGUAGAAUUCCAGGUGUAGCGGUGAAAUGCGUAGAGAUCUGGAGGAAUACCGAUGGCGAAGGCAGCCAUCUGGCCUAACACUGACGCUGAGGUGCGAAAGCAUGGGGAGCAAACAGG
rnacentral:rRNA from 1 species